rnacentral:tRNA from 1 species
GCGGACGUGGUGGAAUUGGUAUACACGACAGACUUAAAAUCUGUUGGCUCAUGGCCAUGCGGGUUCGAGUCCCGCCGUCCGCACCA